rnacentral:rRNA from 1 species
GAUGAACGCUGACAGAAUGCUUAACACAUGCAAGUCUACUUGAACUUCGGUUUGGGUGGCGGACGGGUGAGUAACGCGUAAAGAACUUGCCUCACAGUUAGGGACAACAUUUGGAAACGAAUGCUAAUACCUGAUAUUAUGAUUUUAGGGCAUCCUAAGAUUAUGAAAGCUAUAUGCGCUGUGAGAGAGCUUUGCGUCCCAUUAGCUAGUUGGAGAGGUAACGGCUCACCAAGGCGAUGAUGGGUAGCCGGCCUGAGAGGGUGAACGGCCACAAGGGGACUGAGACACGGCCCUUACUCCUACGGGAGGCAGCAGUGGGGAAUAUUGGACAAUGGACCAAAAGUCUGAUCCAGCAAUUCUGUGUGCACGAUGACGUUUUUCGGAAUGUAAAGUGCUUUCAGUUGGGAAGAAAAAAAUGACGGUACCAACAGAAGAAGUGACGGCUAAAUACGUGCCAGCAGCCGCGGUAAUACGUAUGUCACAAGCGUUAUCCGGAUUUAUUGGGCGUAAAGCGCGUCUAGGUGGUUAUGUAAGUCUGAUGUGAAAAUGCAGGGCUCAACUCUGUAUUGCGUUGGAAACUGCAUGACUAGAGUACUGGAGAGGUAAGCGGAACUACAAGUGUAGAGGUGAAAUUCGUAGAUAUUUGUAGGAAUGCCGAUGGGGAAGCCAGCUUACUGGACAGAUACUGACGCUAAAGCGCGAAAGCGUGGGUAGCAAACAGG